AAUUAUAAUACUUGACAACUUUAUUUUGAUUAUUAAUUCAAAUGAAGAUUAGUUUGUUGUUUUAUCGAAAGUGACCGGUCAAAAUGACCGACAAGGUAAGAAGUUGACCUGCGGACAACUUCGCAUUCUGGCCGGACAUUAUCCGUUGACCGUCCGUUAUUUCGCGCCCUGGACUAUACGUGCAAUAUAGUUACUGACGCUGUUAUCCAAGCUUCCAACCCGAACAUUUCUGUUAUUAUGACACUGCAAAAAUCCCUGAAUAUUUUGACCCGAAAACCCACUUAGUGACUCAAAAUUUUGAGCGGUAAAAUGACUCAAAUGUAUGAGCGAAUUUGUGCUCAAUUUUUUUUUACCAAAGUCUAAAGUUUACG